rnacentral:rRNA from 1 species
CAGGCCUAACACAUGCAAGUCGAGCGGCAGCGCACCCCUCGGGGUGGCUUGCGAGCGGCGGACGGCUGAGUAACACGUGGGAAUGUACCCCAAAGUGAGGAAUAACUGCCCGAAAGGGUAGCUAAUGCCGCAUAUGAUCUUCGGAUUAAAGGCUUCGGCCGCUUUGGGAACAGCCCGCGUACGAUUAGAUAGUUGGUGAGGUAAUGGCUCACCAAGUCGACGAUCGUUAGUUGGUCUGAGAGGAUGACCAGCCAGACUGGAACUGAGACACGGUCCAGACUCCUACGGGAGGCAGCAGUGAGGAAUCUUCCACAAUGGGCGAAAGCCUGAUGGAGCAACGCCGCGUGCAGGAUGAAGGCCUUCGGGUUGUAAACUGCUUUUAUGAGUGAAGAAUAUGACGGUAACUCAUGAAUAAGGGUCGGCUAACUACGUGCCAGCAGCCGCGGUAAU